UACGUAGGGUGCGAGCGUUAAUCGGAAUUACUGGGCGUAGAGCGUGCGCAGGCGGUUUGCUAAGACCGAUGUGAAAUCCCCGGGCUUAACCUGGGAACUGCAUUGGUGACUGGCAGGCUAGAGUAUGGCAGAGGGGGGUAGAAUUCCACGUGUAGCAGUGAAAUGCGUAGAGAUGUGGAGGAAUACCGAUGGCGAAGGCAGCCCCCUGGGCCAAUACUGACGCUCAUGCACGAAAGCGUGGGGAGCAAACAGG
rnacentral:rRNA from 1 species